GCCACCACCCAGCCGGCAGUGAGGCUCCUGAGAGACUCCCCAGAGAUUUCAAGGUGGCUCCGCGGGCACCGAGGGAGGGGUGGGCAGUGUGAGGUGAGCUGAGACCACAAGAAAGGUGCCCUGACUCAGCUCUGCCCACCCCAAGCUGGGAAACCGUGCCUUCCCCUUCCUGCUUCCCAACCCUGACCACCCAGGACAAAGUUGGCCAGUUUCAGGAGCACUGUGAAAGGAGAAAAGCAAACUGCAGAGAAAUACGUGACCGAUGCCACUUUUGUAAAACCAAAGGAGAAUAUGAUAAAUGCCCAGGAUCGUGACUGCUGAGUAAUGCAAUGGCCAAGAAAAAGAAAUAAAGAAAUGAAAAAUAUGAAGUUCCAGUACAUCAGAGCAAUUCCCUCCUUGCUGCACAAUGUUUAUUACCGCAGGGGAUGAUGACAGCAAAGCAACCAGACUCCACCUGCAUUCUGAAAGCCCUCCUCAGUGCCUGCUUUUCAGGAAGACCCACUCUUGCAGAAGGACUGGGACCUCACCUCCCGCCUCUUCCCCAGGACCCGGGACCUGAAGCACCUGCAGGUGUGGGAGCAUCCCAUAGCCUUAGAGGCAGAGCUGGUCCUGACCCUGAAGCAUCCUGGGAGCUGUGAUUACCUCAUCCCUGGACCACACCCUGGAGCAGCCCCUUCUCACAAUACACUACAUCCACUCCAAGCUCCAGGCCUGUGCUCAGCCCACAGCAGGCUGAAGGCCUCAGGGCCGCUUCCAGCACUGGCUUCAUCAGCUCCAGGAGGCCCCAGAGAAGGAGUCUCAAGAGAGCCUCAAGGCCUGCCACAUUCAACCUCUUCCACCUUCUCACUUGGGAUGUGAAUUGUGUCACCAGAAGAGACGUGUGCAUCUGAGAACCAGGACCUACUUUCAGCCCAUCUGAGACUCCAGACCUUGUUUAUGCAUUAACCCCAGUCCUGCCUGAAGAUAUUUCUUCUCACCCCUUUUAAAAAAAAUAUGUAUUUAUUUGGCUGCACUGGUCUUAGUUUCAGCACAUGGGAUCUUCCAGCUUCAUUGCAGCAUGCAGGAUCUUUAGUUAUAGCAUGCGAACUCUCAGUUGUGGCAUUUGAACUCUUAGUUGCGGCAUGUAGGAUCUAGUUCCCUGACCAGGGAUGGAACCUGGACUCCCUGCAUUGGGAGUGUAGAGC